rnacentral:tRNA from 1 species
GGGGCUGUAGCUCAGUUGGGAGAGCGCGUCGUUCGCAAUGACGAGGUCGCCGGUUCGAUCCCGGCUAGCUCCA